rnacentral:rRNA from 1 species
AUACGUAGGGUGCGAGCGUUGUCCGGAAUUAUUGGGCGUAAAGAGCUCGUAGGCGGCCUGUUGCGUCCGCUGUGAAAGCCCGGGGCUUAACCCCGGGUCUGCAGUGGAUACGGGCAGGCUAGAGUUCGGCAGGGGAGACUGGAAUUCCUGGUGUAGCGGUGAAAUGCGCAGAUAUCAGGAGGAACACCGGUGGCGAAGGCGGGUCUCUGGGCCGAUACUGACGCUGAGGAGCGAAAGCGUGGGGAGCGAACA